rnacentral:rRNA from 1 species
AGUGAACGCUGGCGGUAGGCCUAACACAUGCAAGUCGAACGGCAGCACAGUAAGAGCUUGCUCUUACGGGUGGCGAGUGGCGGACGGGUGAGGAAUACAUCGGAAUCUACUUUUUCGUGGGGGAUAACGAAGGGAAACUUACGCUAAUACCGCAUACGACCUACGGGUGAAAGCAGGGGAUCUUCGGACCUUGCGCGAUUGAAUGAGCCGAUGUCGGAUUAGCUAGUUGGCGGGGUAAAGGCCCACCAAGGCGACGAUCCGUAGCUGGUCUGAGAGGAUGAUCAGCCACACUGGAACUGAGACACGGUCCAGACUCCUACGGGAGGCAGCAGUGGGGAAUAUUGGGCAAUGGGCGCAAGCCUGAUCCAGCCAUACCGCGUGGGUGAAGAAGGCCUUCGGGUUGUAAAGCCCUUUUGUUGGGAAAGAAAAGCAGCAGGUUAAUACCCCGCUGUUCUGACGGUACCCAAAGAAUAAGCACCGGCUAACUUCGUG